rnacentral:rRNA from 1 species
GACGAACGCUGGCGGCGUGCUUAACACAUGCAAGUCGAACGGUGAAGCGCCUUCCGUUUUGGAGGGUGUGGAUGAGUGGCGAACGGGUGAGUAACACGUGCGUAACCUGGCCCCUUCUUCUGGAUAACCGCAUGAAAGUGUGGCUAAUACGGGAUAUUCUGGGUCUGUCGCAUGAUGGGUCUGGGAAAGAUAUUGGUUCGGUGGGGGAUGGGAUCGCGGACUAUCAGGUUGGUGGUGAGGUGAUGGCCUACGAAGGCGGUGAGGAGUAGGCGGCCUGAGAGGGUGAGCGGUCCUACGGGUGAUGAGAGGCGGAGAAGACUACGACGGGAGGCAGCGGGGGAGAAUAGAGCACAAUGGGAGGAAGGCUGCUGCAGCGACGCGGGGUGGGGGAUGGAGGCCGGCGUGUUGUGAGCCUCUGUAGGGAGUGAAGCAGGUCUGCCUAGUUUGUGGGUGGGUUGACGGUAGCGGGAGAAGAAGCGCCGGCUAACUACGUG